CACACUGUCCCACACCUCGCGCCUCCCUCUCCCACCCCAAAAACCCUAUCCACCCACAGCCGCUGCCACCUCUCCCUCUCUCCUCCGGCUCUGGAUUUAGAUCUGCCACCCGCCGGCACCCUCACAUCUCGCCACCAGUAUCCCCCAAGCCGUCGUCCUCCCACCCUCUCCAUCUCCGUCUCCCCCUCCCUCCCCUCCCCUCCUCAGAGAGGAGAGGGAGAUCGACCAGCCAUGGCGGCGGCCAUGGCGGCAUUCAGAUCUAGGAUGGCCGUAGGCACCUAUCCCUCCUCGCAAAGGCUAUAGGCUUUGCCGGUAUGGGACAUGAGGAUUGCUUCCUCACGUUGCUUCUGCUCGGCCGUGCGUGAGGAGAUGCCAUGGACACCGAUGUCAAGCUCCGCUACUUUGAUCCCCAUCCAGAUCCGCCUCCUUCUCUCUUCCCCUCUUUGAUUUGCCCUUCUUCCAUUUCCUUCCCUGAGGCAUGCAUUUUCUCUUGUUUUUCUUCCUCACACAGGCACCUGCACCACGAAUUCUAUGCAAGGAGAGGAGUGAGGGUGCUGCAGGGAGAAAAAGGGAAGAACGGGAUGCACCUGAGGAGCGAUGGGUUGACAUCUUGGUUCCUGCUUGACCAUGUUGCCUAUGGAUGGUGAGAAGGAGAAGGAAGGUGCUGCAAGUGCCAGGAGAAGGGGUCGGAUGUUGAUGAAACCCUUGGUUGUGAGGGUCUCUGUAUAGGUUUCAACUGAAUACUCUACUUAUUAUCUGAGAAAUACCAUGCAUAACCGAGCAACUAAUUCUAUUUUUUAAACUAGACAAAGCACCUACUGGUGAAAUGGACGUGAACCUUCAGAAAUCAAAUGUCCUCAUAUAGUAAUAUAUUUCACAUGUCUUCUAAUUUUUGAGUCCGUGAAAUACCUGAUGUACGUAGUGCAUAUGAUAUUUUGUAAACUGUAUGUGCUGGAUAGGUGGUUCUUAUGCUGCAAGGUAAUUGGGAGGCCCGCUCCUCCCCCGCAUAUGCCGCGUAAUUUAAGAUGUUGCCUGCCAAGCCCACAUAUUAUUAAGUGGGAUGUACUCUAAACUUAUAAUCAUUUAGUCUGAUGUAAUGCUAACACAGUGAUUUAUUAUACAACACGAUGGUACUUUUGGAUGGUAGUACGUUAAUUUAUUAGGAUGCAGUACUGAUACACUGAUUCAUUCGACUACUAGUGCUGGAUGGAUUUUCAGGUUGGAUAGAUCACUGUACUGCUGUGCAACUUCCCCUAGCUUCACAUUGCAAGCCCAAUGAUUCUUGUUCCCGGGAUGCCCACAUAAAACAGUUUGUUAUUUUUACUUGCCGCCAUUCACCAUCCGACUGUAGUUUUGCAACAUGCAAAUUGCAUGUACGUCUGUUAGGUCAGCAGCAUGCUAAUUGCCUGAGCUUGAGUACCACAAAUGUGAAGUUUUGACUUUCCUAUUGUAAUGGUUAGUGUGAAACUAGAAAUUGCUUCAAAACCUACCUGAAAGUUUCUUGCUUUGACAUGUAGUCUUACUAGAUGGUACAGUGGCUAUCGUCCAGAAAAUAAAUCUCUUUGGAAAAUAAAUAUUACGAGACUACUCUGAACAAUACUACUCCUUCAACUUGUACAUACUCCUAGGCUGUUGCUGUAUGGUUCCAAAAAUCCCAAAUAAAAAUCUGGAUGACAUUUACAUAUGUAAAUACAUACAUAUGAAAUAAGCACCACGGUUUCGUUUAGUGUGUAUGCGUCGAUAUGUUUUAAUUUUGACUGAAACAAUCUGGAUGGCACCUGCAUCUGUAGAUAAAUAUGAAGAAGAAUAUGAAGAAGAACCACAGUUUGGUUCAGUUUGUACGUGUUAAUUUGGUUUAACUUCGACUGAAAAUAUAUAUGAAUAAAUUUUGGUUUCAAGGCCCGUCUAAUGAUGGGCUUACUAUCCGACAAUGUUCAUUCUUUAGUUAUCCUUGUUAGUCAUGACCCCUUUAGCUAAUCUGUUUGGAACAGGUGGGUGGUACAUUUGUGUGUUGUUUGAUUGAAAGGCGAAACCUCUAGUAUUAUCAUGUUUGCUUUCCUUCGAAACGCUAGUCUUAUCAUGUUUGCUUUCCUUGGAAACGAUUCAGCUCUAGGAGCAAAUUAUUAGUUUGCUGUUUAUAAUCUGUAUCAUUUAUCAAAUUGUGUUGUAAAUUAUCAUUCCCUGUCUCAUCUUAAUUUUUUUUGCAUUCCCUGGCUCGUUUUAAUUCUGUUCCUGUGGUAGAGUAUGACUGUUGUUGUUUAUCCUGUUAAUUCAGUUGACUUUCUCUCUUGAAAUCUAGCCAAACACAGAAACAAGCACACUGCCGUAUUUGUACAGGCAAGAUCUCUUUUCACACCAUCUAGUCCAAAACAGAAAGCUGUUGUAUUCUCUGAUGAACUUCAAGGCAACGAAAAUGCAGCAGGAUAUAUGCAAGAUUCCUUGGGUACUUUGCACAAGAUAUUCAUGACACGCAAGCAGAGCCAUAUUAACAUAGAUAUAUUAAUCCUACUUGUUGCCUCUCACAACUGCACGAGAUGAUAGUUGCCAUGAAGAGCAUUGAUUGCAAGAAAUUGAAUAAGAAACUUUUAUAUAUGUUGUUGAUGUAAAUUGGAUUGUGCUGGUCCUAAACUUGCUAUGUGUUGUAUUUUGUCAAUUCGUGUUUUAAAUUAUCAUUUCAUGGAGGAUUUUGUAAACUGCUAUGUUGUACAUAUUGGUAGAUGGCUGCAUAAAUACUACAUGAUCUUUCUAUUUUAUGGCACUUUGAAAUAUGUUUUUUCUUCAGCCAAUGUUGAUGCUAUGAUCUAUGUAAUGUAUUAUGCUAGAAAAAAAUCCACUAGCUCAAAAUUGCGCAGAAAGAAAUGGCCUAAUGUGCUCACCAUGAUGAAUUUUGUGACGGAAAAUAGUAUCCACGUAGGCAGCCACGUCAUUUGAAUGGGUCAAUCAAAAAUCCUACGUGGCGUUAGUCCAUGACGGUCUGCUCCGUCACAAUGGAUUGGGCCUGGGCGGGCCUAAGCCAGAUCCAUGACGGACAAGAACCGUCAUGUAAGGUACUAUGCCAAAUUAUGACGCGAUAUACAUGACGGACUUCGAGUCCGUC